GGCCGCGGGAAUUCGAUUCAGGCCUAACACAUGCAAGUCGAACGGCAGCACGGAGCUUGCUCUGGUGGCGAAAGGCGAACGGGUGAGUAAUAUAUCGGAACGUACCCUAGAGUGGGGGAUAACGUAGCGAAAGUUACGCUAAUACAGCAUACGAUCUACGGAUGAAAGUGGGGGAUCGCAAGACCUCAUGCUCGUGGAGCGGCCGAUAUCUGAUUAGCUAGUUGGUAGGGUAAAAGCCUACCAAGGCAUCGAUCAGUAGCUGGUCUGAGAGGACGACCAGCCACACUGGAACUGAGACACGGUCCAGACUCCUACGGGAGGCAGCAGUGGGGAAUUUUGGACAAUGGGCGAAAGCCUG
rnacentral:rRNA from 1 species